rnacentral:rRNA from 1 species
UUCCAGACUCCUACGGGAGGCAGCAGUGGGGAAUAUUGCACAAUGGGGGAAACCCUGAUGCAGCGACGCCGCGUGAGCGAAGAAGUACCUCGGUAUGUAAAGCUCUAUCAGCAGGGAGGAAAAUGACGGUACCUGAAGAAGAAGCCCCGGCUAACUACGUGCCAGCAGCCGCGGUAAUACGUAGGGGGCAAGCGUUAUCCGGAUUUACUGGGUGUAAAGGGGGCGCAGACGGCGAUGCAAGCCAGGAGUGAAAGCCCGGGGCCCAACCCCGGGACUGCUCUUGGAACUGCGUGGCUGGAGUGCAGGAGGGGCAGGCGGAAUUCCUGGUGUAGCGGUGAAAUGCGUAGAUAUCAGGAGGAACACCGGUGGCGAAGGCGGCCUGCUGGACUGCAACUGACGUUGAGGCCCGAAAGCGUGGGGAGCAAACAGGAUUAGAUACCCCAGUAC